ensembl:lncRNA
UUGCACGAAAAGAUCUCAGUGUAAUCGUCCUUAGUCAAAUAGCAAUAGACUUAUAUGGCCGUGCAGGGAAGCCUAGUGUAAAUUAUGUCAUGACGCAAUGAUGCCUGUGUGUGUUUGUGUGUGUGUGCGCCUGUUUGGGUACUUGUGUGUCUGUGUGUGCUUGUGUGUGUGUGUGUGUGUGCGUGUGUGUGUUUGUGUGUGCGUGUGUGUGUGCGUGUGUGUGUGUGUGUGUGUGUGUGUGUGUGUGUGUGUGUGUGUGUGUGUGUGUGUGUGUGUGUGUGUGUGAUUGUGUGCUUGUGCCUGUUUGUUUGUGUGUUUGUGCGGGUGUGCCCAUCUGUCUCUAGUACGCGGCCUCCUCACCACACCGUCUUUCCCUCCAGCUCUGUCGGUUGCUUUCCUUCCCUCCCUCGCUAUAUUUCUCUGCCUGUCUGCGUCUGGUUCGCCUGCACAGUCUCGCUUCCGUACAGAUGGCGGCUGAGAGGCGAUCCGAUCGCUGACAGCCAGCCCGCUCCCACCAUACCUGUUGGAUGGCUAACAGGUGUUAGCUGUUGUUGCUACCGCCAGCGCCGAUGCACUCACACAGCGAGGAGGAGAGAUGCUACACGUGCUGUAUACGAUCCACGAUGGCAGGAUGGCACUCUGGCAUGCCAAUUGGAGGAAACCAAAUGCAUGUGUGGGAAGCUCUUAGGCUGAUAUACAGGGCUUCCUAAGCCAGCUGGAAGGGGCCUGGGAAGACUGUAGAUAACAGCUGCUGCAGCUCAGUGGACGGAUAGUCUCAGGGAGCAGAGGAGGCAUGGAGAGGAGCUGUCACAACAGCGGCAGGCGGGGAUGCACCAACACCGAGGAGAUCCUUCCAGAAACCUCUACAGUGGUCCCAGACAGAGGAAGGCCCAGAGAGGAAGAAGAGCUGUUCCCCUGAUGACGUGCCAUGACCGAUCAGGAUACCAAGUUGCCAUGGUUACUUCAGUGUUGAAACAGGAGGACAAAGAGGGGGAAGAGCUGGGCCUCUGGCAGCAGCUCCAGCGGGACAGGAGGAGCUGAGGGGGAGGAGCCGGGAGGAGAAGGAGGAGCCGGGAGGAGGAGGAGGAGCCGGGAGGAGGAGGAGGAGACGCGGCGUGAGCUGGAGCACUCCCGACGCGAGGAGGCGCUGGAGCUCAGCUGCGUCAAGGCAUACCUCCGGCUGCUGACUGACGAGAACGCAGCACUGCAGGAGGAGCAGGGGGCGCUCCUGAGGAGGAGGGAGUGCCCAGAGCGAGGCCAUCUGACCGCCGCGCUAACCCAGGCGUGAGAUGAGCUCCUGCAGGGCCGGCGGCACACCCCUGCCCCCCGCCUGCUCCCCUCGAGACCCUGGCACACCCCGGAGAGGCCGGGGUCUCUGGGUAAAGAGCAGAGAGCGCCCGGGACCCUAGCGCCAACUCACUCGCCUGCCACUCAACCCCCCC